AUUGAAUUCUAUACUUUCGCUUUGUUUUUCAGAUUAACUGAAGAUGAAGAAUUUAAAAGAGUGGUUUUCCUAUGAGCUAUUGUCUAAAUCAUUACUAUCUGCAAGGCCUUUCAGCUUCUUUUAUGAGGAAUCACUGGAUGGUGAACUUGGCAACCGAGGAGAAAUAUUGAGGUCUCUAUGGUGAUUUCGGAUUCUAACCCUUGCUAUGAAGACGCACAUAUGAGGCUUGCUGCAGUACUCUUAAUGUUGCUAUUGAGUCCAACUGAGUGUUAUGUUUGUUUCCUGUUCUUUUCUUUCUUGUCAUGAUCAUGUUCAUGCCUGAACAUUUGAAAGAUGGGAAAUAAGUGGACUAUGGUUGUGCUACUAUUUUGUUUAUAGACGAACUUAAUACUCUUCAAGUU